GAUGAACGCUGGCGGCGUGCCUAAUACAUGCAAGUCGAGCGAACAGACGAGGAGCUUGCUCCUCUGACGUUAGCGGCGGACGGGUGAGUAACACGUGGAUAACCUACCUAUAAGACUGGGAUAACUUCGGGAAACCGGAGCUAAUACCGGAUAACAUGUUGAACCGCAUGGUUCAACAGUGAAAGACGGUCUUGCUGUCGCUUAUAGAUGGAUCCGCGCCGCAUUAGCUAGUUGGUAAGGUAACGGCUUACCAAGGCAACGAUGCGUAGCCGACCUGAGAGGGUGAUCGGCCACACUGGAACUGAGACACGGUCCAGACUCCUACGGGAGGCAGCAGUAGGGAAUCUUCCGCAAUGGGCGAAAGCCUGACGGAGCAACGCCGCGUGAGUGAAGAAGGUCUUCGGAUCGUAAAACUCUGUUAUUAGGGAAGAACAAAUGUGUAAGUAACUAUGCACGUCUUGACGGUACCUAAUCAGAAAGCCACGGCUAACUACAUG
rnacentral:rRNA from 1 species